AGGGGCGGCACGUGGAGCCUCAUGCCCUCCCCCAGGGUCUGCAGGGACAUGAUAGCUGCUUCUGGGAAUGGUGCAGGGCUGGGGCAGGCAGGGAGCCUGCCUUAGCCCCGCUGUGCCACCGACCGGGAGCCAACCGAGGUGAUAAGGUCAGUUCCAGGGACAUAACUAUGAAGCAAUAAUGGAUUACAAUUAUAUGAAUUCUUGGAAGAGACUAAUAAUACUCCACAAUUUUUUAGAAUCUAUGGGACCAAAGUCUACAAAGCCCUAUAUUUUCUUGCUUGUGUCAUAUGCAGUGGAAAUGACAGGAUACAACAGUAAUGGGCAGUGAAUAUCAAAGGCCAGGGAAGGCUAAGUCUUCCCUGACCCAGGCUGUGGCUCCACCCGUGUCCUGCCCCAAGGCCCUCCCCUCCCUCCCUCUCUACUCUGAAGCCAGCAGGGGCUCACUCAGUUCCAAUCGCAGCCUGGAGCUCAGGCCCGUUGGUGGCCCAGGGCAGCACUGGGGCCAGCAGCUUGGCCCAGCCAGCGUUGUGCGGGCUGGUGGCUCAGCCCAUUGCUACGGGGGCCAGCCAGGAUGGUUGGGCUUUGGGUCCUCUGACCACUUGCUGGGGAGGGAGUGCUCGGGGCGCCAGUGGGUGGGGGUGGGGCCUCAGGUGGAAGAGGAAAGGCCAGCGGACUAGCAUCUCUGAAGAAGGGGGGGUGUCACCCACGGCCUAUGGCAACAGUAGCUCUAGCAAGGAAUGACAACAGUCAAGGAGAGGACCUCUUCUAACCAUGAAAAAAUAUCUACGGUGACAACUGACACAAGUGAGAAAAAAUAAAUGGACCUGGUGUGUCAGUAUCAAGUACUUGGACAGCGGCAUCCAUCAAGCUUAUGGGGACAUAAGAGAAUUCAGUCAGGACAAAAAGACUUUCUAUUUUCAUGCCAAAAAUAAACCUUGAGACCAAUCCUAUAGUCCUUCAUCCACAACAUUAGACCCUUUUACGACAGUCCAAAUCUGUCAUUUUGCAGUUUUCCUGAAAAUUUAAAAUUAAUUUGUCAAUAUACACCAGUGAUUCUCAAUCUGUAGAUCAUGGGCUGCAUGUGGUCCAAUUAGCACACAGCUGUGGCCCAGCUCAGCUGUGUGCUAAGGCCAGCCCAUGUGGCAGGGUCUGGGUUCCAGCCACCCAGUGCAGUGGGGUCCAGGCUGCCCCGCUGCCCAGCACGGCAGGGUUGGGGUCCAGUCAAGGAUGCCAGCCCAGCCCGCAGAGUCCAGGGUUUGUAGCUGCUGCCCAGCCCCACAACCUCCAGUGCUGUCACCUGGCCCUGCAAGCUCUGGGGCUGCCUCCCAGCCCCACACAGUGCGGGGUUCAGGGCAGCUGUACAGUGGGAAUCCAGGGUCCAGAAUCGAGGUCUGGGCUGCCACUGCCCUGUCACCUGGCUCCUGCAGCCCAGGUAACAUAUUGUGAGCCACAUAUGCGGCCUGCAAUGAUAAAUAAGUUGAGAACCACUGGUAUACAUCAUAGCUGCAAUUUACCAAUGCAUUUAUUCAACUUUUUAUAUUAUGUACUUUAAUUUUUUGAAUUAUAGUUCAGAAUAUUGUGUAAUUAAGGCCAAACAUAGCUUUACCAGGAUGCUUAUAAUUAUAAAAAAGUUCUAUAGUGGCAUCGAUGCAAUUCUGCAAUCACUAAUACAUGUGUGUAGCUUUAAGCACAAGUAGUCUUAUUGACUUGAAUGGGACUACUUAUAUAUUUAAAGUUAAUCAUGUGUAAAAGUCUGCUGGAAUGAGGCCUUAUGCAGUGCAAAACACAAUCAAAAUAAGGUUUAAAUUCUCAGAAGAUUAAGAGGAGUCUGCCUAUA